UACAAUGUCACCUGAAAGUGAGAACAGGUGGUCACAUGACACUUUUAUAGUUGGCAUUCCAAGGUAUUUAAGUGUCAGAUAUGCUUAACAUUCAUGUGCCCCUUCUUGCUUUGGCCACCACUCCAAAGGACAUGCUUCCAUGCUGAUGAUGGUCGGUAAAAAAAUCAUGUGU